rnacentral:sRNA from 1 species
UACGUCUGGAGUUUAUAGAGGAUGAGAAUCUCCGAAGGAGGUUUGAGCCGAGCGUAGCGAGACAACGUUGCUUCAGCAACGGCCCGCAGGGGAAUAAUCCUCUCUCGCCGACCA